rnacentral:rRNA from 1 species
GAUGAACGCUGGCGGCGUGCCUAAUACAUGCAAGUCGAGCGAACGUACGAGAAGCUUGCUUUUCUGAUGUUAGCGGCGGACGGGUGAGUAACACGUGGAUAACCUACCUAUAAGACUGGGAUAACUUCGGGAAACCGGAGCUAAUACCGGAUAAUAUUUUGAACCGCAUGGUUCAAAAGUGAAAGACGGUCUUGCUGUCACUUAUAGAUGGAUCCGCGCUGCAUUAGCUAGUUGGUAAGGUAACGGCUUACCAAGGCAACGAUGCAUAGCCGACCUGAGAGGGUGAUCGGCCACACUGGAACUGAGACACGGUCCAGACUCCUACGGGAGGCAGCAGUAUGGAAUCUUCCGCAAUGGGCGAAAGCCUGACGGAGCAACGCCGCGUGAGUGAUGAAGGUCUUCGGAUCGUAAAACUCUGUUAUUAGGGAAGAACAUAUGUGUAAGUAACUGUGCACAUCUUGACGGUACCUAAUCAGAAAGCCACGGCUAACUACGUG